GGAAUCAUAGACAAUGGGGGAAACCCUGAUCUUGCCAUGCCGCGUGGACGAUGAAGGCCUUAGGGUUGUAAAGUCCUUUCACCGGGGAAGAUAAUGACGGUACCCGGAGAAGAAGCCCCGGCUAACUCCGUGCCAGCAGCCGCGGUAAUACGGAGGGGGCUAGCGUUGUUCGGAAUUACUGGGCGUAAAGCGCGCGUAGGCGGGCUGUUAAGUCGGGGGUGAAAUCCCGGGGCUCAACCCCGGAACUGCCCUCGAUACUGGCAGCCUUGAGGAUGGCAGAGGCCAGUGGAAUGGCGAGUGUAGAGGUGAAAUUCGUAGAUAUUCGCCGGAACACCAGUGGCGAAGGCGACUGGCUGGGCCAUUUCUGACGCUGAGGCGCGAAAGCGUGGGGAGCAAA
rnacentral:rRNA from 1 species